UACGUAGGGUGCAAGCGUUGUCCGGAAUUAUUGGGCGUAAAGAGCGUGUAGGCGGUCCGGUAAGUCCGCUGUGAAAGUCGGGGGCUCAACCCUCGAAUGCCGGUGGAUACUGUCGGGCUGGAGUCCGGAAGAGGCGAGUGGAAUUCCUGGUGUAGCGGUGAAAUGCGCAGAUAUCAGGAGGAACACCUGCGGCGAAGGCGGGUUGCUGGGCUGACACUGACGCUGAGGUACGAAAGCUAGGGUAGCGAACGGG
rnacentral:rRNA from 1 species